CCGGUGGAGUAACCAUUUUGGAGCUAGCCGUCGAAGGUGGGACAAAUGAUUGGGGUGAAGUCGUAACAAGGUAGCCGUAUCGGAAGGUGCGGCUGGAUCACCUCCUUUCUAAGGA
rnacentral:rRNA from 1 species